rnacentral:rRNA from 1 species
CAAAAACAUGUCUUUUUGUUUAUUUAUUUAAGGUUUGACCUGCCCAAUGAGGAAUUGAAUGGCCGCAGUAUUUUAACUGUGCUAAGGUAGCAUAAUCAUUUGUCUUUUAAUUGAGGGCUGGAAUGAAGGGUUGGACGAGGUAUUAACUUUCUUUAAUCUAGUUAGGAGAAUUUAAUUUUUGAGUUAAAAAGCUUAAAUUUAUUUAUGGGACGAGAAGACCCUAUAGAUCUUUAUAAUUUUAUAUUUUAGUAAUUUGGAGGUUUAUGUACUUUGAAUAAAUUAAUUAUUUUGUUGGGGUGACUGUAGAAUUAAAAUAACUUCUAUUUAUUUUUUCAUUGAUGAGUGUUUUUGUGAUCCAUAAUUUUAUGAUUAUAAGAUUAAGUUACCUUAGGGAUAACAGCGUAAUUUCUUUGGAGAGUUCAUAUUGAUGAAGAAGUUUGCGACCUCGAUGUUGGAUUAAAAUUAGUUGUAGAUGCAGGAGUUUACUUACUAGGUCUGUUCGACCUUUGAAUUUUUACAUGAUCUGAGUU